rnacentral:rRNA from 1 species
GACGAACGCUGGCGGCGUGCUUAACACAUGCAAGUCGAACGAAGCUUGAUUACGGAUUCUUCGGAUGAAGUAUGAUAUGACUGAGUGGCGGACGGGUGAUUAACGCGUGAGUAACCUGCCCUUCAGAGGGGGAUAGCGUUUGGAAACGAACGGUAAUACCGCAUAAUGUAUUUUGACCGCAUGAUCGAAAUACCAAAGAUUUAUCGCUGAAGGAUGGACUCGCGUCUGAUUAGGUAGUUGGUGGGGUAACGGCCUACCAAGCCGACGAUCAGUAGCCGGACUGAGAGGUUGAUCGGCCACAUUGGGACUGAGACACGGCCCAGACUCCUACGGGAGGCAGCAGUGGGGAAUAUUGCACAAUGGGCGCAAGCCUGAUGCAGCAACGCCGCGUGAAGGAAGACGGUUUUCGGAUUGUAAACUUCUGUUCUUAGUGAAGAAUAAUGACGGUAGCUAAGGAGCAAGCCACGGCUAACUACGUG